rnacentral:rRNA from 1 species
UACGGAGGGGACUAGCGUUGUUCGGAAUUACUGGGCGUAAAGCGCACGUAGGCGGAUUUGUAAGUCAGGGGUGAAAUCCCGGGGCUCAACCUCGGAACUGCCUUUGAUACUGCAAAUCUCGAGUCCGGAAGAGGUGAGUGGAAUUCCUAGUGUAGAGGUGAAAUUCGUAGAUAUUAGGAAGAACACCAGUGGCGAAGGCGGCUCACUGGUCCGGUACUGACGCUGAGGUGCGAAAGCGUGGGGAGCAAACGGG